GGGGCGUUAGCUCAGUUGGGAGAGCGCCUGCUUUGCAAGCAGGAGGUCAUCGGUUCGAUCCCGAUACGCUCCA
rnacentral:tRNA from 1 species